GACGAACGCUGGCGGCGUGCUUAACACAUGCAAGUCGAACGGAAAGGCCCUGCUUUUGUGGGGUGCUCGAGUGGCGAACGGGUGAGUAACACGUGAGUAACCUGCCCUUGACUUUGGGAUAACUUCAGGAAACUGGGGCUAAUACCGGAUAGGAGCUCCUGCUGCAUGGUGGGGGUUGGAAAGUUUCGGCGGUUGGGGAUGGACUCGCGGCUUAUCAGCUUGUUGGUGGGGUAGUGGCUUACCAAGGCUUUGACGGGUAGCCGGCCUGAGAGGGUGACCGGCAAAAGUGGGGAGGGGAUCAGGCCCGGCCUCAGACGGGAGCAGCAGGUGGGAAAUUUUGAACAGUGGGGGGGGGCCUGAUGCAGCAACCCCGGGGGGGGGAGGAGGGCUUUGGGUUGGUAACCCGCUUCCGCCGGGGACGAAGGGGGAGGGAGGAUAGGGGAUAAAGAAACCCGGACAAACUACGUC
rnacentral:rRNA from 1 species